GAAUGAGACUAUCCAAAUGCUUUGCCAAGUGGUUAUGAGAGAAGUAAAUUACAUAUUUAGAAAACCAUAAAAAAGAUGAGAAGAAAGAAAAAUAAAGAAUGAAUUAGAAAGAAAGAAUCUCAAAGAGAAAGAUAAGAAGAAAAAAUAACUGGAGAGUGAGAAAGAAGAAAAAAGAAAAGAGAAAAAAAAGAAAGAGAAAUAAAUAUGAGGGGAAUAAACUAUAUAUUUAUAUAUAAAAAAUAAAAGAGAACAAGAUAGAAGAAGGAAGAAAGAAUAAGAAAUAAAGAAAAGGAAAGAGAAAGAGUAGAAGAAGAAAAAGAACAUGACAAAAGAAGAAAGAGAAAGGCAUAAAUAAUUGGUUCUUAAUGUCCCAAACAGUGUUGUGAUUGCUUCAAAAUUAGAGUAUAAACAAUUUUUUAAAAUAUUUUUCCAACAAAACAUAUUAAAAAAGAGACACAAAAAUUUGAACUUUCUUAAUAAGUGUGAGAUAUUUACCUUCAUUAGAAAGCCAAUUCCAGACGGCAAUUAUAAUACAUAAGAAAAGUAUGUGCACUUAGCAUGUGCUUCCCUAUUAAAGUGCAGAUAAAAUAUAAUCUAAAAUAAGUCAACUAGAUUGAGACCGAUGCAAUGCAUGGGUGUCGAAAUAUUGUAAACUCCCCUUAAAAACCAUCGUAUAAUUGACUUUGGUUGAAUUAUUGCGCGCUUUACUAAUAUUUUAUACUUUGGAGUUUAUUUUAAAACUUAAGUACAAAAGAAGUGUCAACGGGUAAAUAAUCUUUGAAUGGAAGAUAAUUAAGAGUUAAUAGUGUUUGAUCAAUCUGUGAUCAGUUUUUCAAGAGGGAAAAUACAUGCGUUUGAAUAUGAUGGUAGCCUCUUCUCCAACCGAUGUUACACUUAAUUUAAUCCCUACAAAAAAAGCGUGCUAGAGUUUUGUUUAUCAAUCUUGUACCGGCGAUUCCUUUUUUUUAAAACAUAAUGGAUGCUUGUUCUUGUAUGAGGCAUUCGGAUUGAAGAGGUGAAACUUAAUACAUACGAUCCAUACCUUAUGUCCCUAACAAACACUGACAAUGGUUAACAUCGAUCGGAUUGUAUAGGUACGCCAGUAUAAUGAGUCAUAUCACCUAUGAAAGUUACAUAUGACGGUACUCACACAUAAUAAUUCGGACAUCGCAUUUACCAUAGAUAUAAAAUCUAUUUUCUAUAUUGACUUGCUUACUAGAUUUUAGGUUUAAGUUAUUGCAACAUUAGAAAAGCUGACUUUAAUUGUAAAUGCAUUUCUAAAAUAUAAAUGUUUAUGUAUAAAUAGUAUUAAUUCUUAUUCUCGUGCCACUACACUUAUUUCCCGGAAGUCCUUGAGCAAUAGCUGUUGGUAAUCACUGUAAUUGGAUAUCUAACCAUGUGUAGAUCUUAUCCAUGUAUACAGUUGGAUGUUAUGUGUUUAGUGAGUAUGCUUAGCUGUAGCUGAUUCGAAUGUUAACGACGAUGUCUAUUUGGAUUGAUACAACAUUAUUCUUGGUUAGUUCUUAUUGUAGGAGAUUUAAUUUGUGAGUGUGAUGUCUUGUAUGUUGUAUGAAACACCAGAUCUUAUGAGGUUAUACUUACCCAUUACACCUAAACUAGUCUCCAACAUGUACUUUAACUCACGAAUUUGGACAUUCCUCCAUCAAAACAGCUCAGAUUACUUACCUUGUACAGUUCCUUCUGGAAAAGAGACGCAUUUUCAACUCUAGAAAUUAAUGCAAAAUUCAUUUAUAAUGGAAUUCGCCUCUGUUAAGGCAUCCUAAGUAUUAGUCGAUUGUUUACAAUACUUUAGAAUUUUGGUUUAGACUUGUUUCUAUGUUUCUUUCCAUAUUUAUGUUAGAAGCAGAAGUACUUUCCUAUAAAUACCCUCAUCAUCAAACUACUCCCCCUAUCCUACAAUUAUCCAACUGGUACGUUCUCAUGGGGUGGAACUGAGCGUGUUAGGUUAGUGCCGAGACCAACCUUGCUAGUGUCUUGUAAGGUCAUUUACUUGCAAAAUAAUUUAUGUUUAUUACUUGUUAUAUAUAUGUUUUUAAAAAAAAAAUAGGGAAAAAAACACUAGAACUUAAAAGUGUAAACAAAAAUUAAACAGAAUGACGUGAUCCUGUACAUUGACAUAAAUCUCAAUAUUCUGUUGUUUAGCAACACAUAAUAGAGAAGUGUCGCGAAUGCAGCUAUCACCCCUCAGGAUCGAGACUGUCCACUAAUCGCUUGCCUAGUGCGUCUACCGAGAGACGGUAAAUUACAUCAUUUAGAAUCUAAAUAAUAGAUGAAGAACAAAGAAAAAUAAAGAAGGAAUUAGAAAAGAAAGAUAAUGCAAAAGAGAAAGAUAAGAAGAAAAAUGACUUGGAGAGUGUAGGACACGAAUAAAAAGAAAAGAGAAAAAAAAAGAAAGAGAAAGAAAUAAGAGGGAAUAAACUAUAUAUUUAUAUAUAUAAAAAUAAAGAGUAUAAGAUAAGAAUAAGGAAAGAAAGAAACCAGACAUAACAAAAGGAAAGAAGACAGAGUAGAAGAAGAAAAAAACCAUGACAAAAGAAGAAGAGAAAGCAUAAAUAAAUUGGUUCUUGAAUGUUCCCACACAGUUUUGAUUGCUGUCAAAAAUUAGAGUUAAACAUUUUUAAAAAAUAUUUUUCCAACAAAAAAUAUUAAAAAGGACAGCAAAAAUUUGAAACUCUCUUAAUCAAGUGUGAGGAUAUUUUACCUUCCAUUAGACAACAAUUACAGAGGAAUUAAUAUAAUAAGCAAAAGUAUGUGCCUGCGUGCUUCUAUAUGUCGUUAAAUAAAAUAAGCAACUAGAUUGAGACCCGUGCAAUGCACGGGUGUCGAAAAUUUGUAAACUCCCUUUAAAACCAUGUAUAUUGACUUUGGUUAUUUUGCGCUUAACAAUAUUUUUAUACUUUUGGAGUUUAUUUUAAAACUUCAAAGUAAAACAUAAAAAGAAUUUUAACUAAAUAAUUUUGAAGGAAGAAAUAAGAGUAUGUUGGAUUGAUAAAUGAUCAAGUUCUUCAGAGAAAAAUACAUGGAUGAAAGAUACCACGAUGUGCACUUUAAUUUAUCCCUUACAAAAAAAAACUACUUACUAUCAAUUUACAUUUUUUUUAAUAAUACUCUUGAAAUUUUUAAUUUCACUUAAAAAUAUAAUUAGCCUUACGAAAAAUGAAAUGGUUAAUUAUGGAUGUAUAUAGAGAAAUAAUAUUCAUACAGAAAAGGUUACAACGGUACUCACAACUUAAAUAAUUGGAAAUGCAUAACCAUUUCAAAAAUCUAUCUUAUUGAAUGUCUUCUAGAUUUAGGUUUAAUUAUUGCAACUAUUAGAAAAAAUAGNUUUCCUUUUUUUUACGUAUGUGCGAGUCUUUUAAUUCACUAUCUCUCUUUACAAUAAAAAUGACUAUAACUAUCUAAGUUUACAUUUUUUUAUAAUAAUUUACUCUAUUUUUUUUGUAUAAUCUUUUUAAUUUUCAACCUUUAAAUAUAUGGUAGAUUUUAGCGCUUACGAAAUGAAAUAUGGUUUCACACUGUGGAUGGCUAUAUAUUAUGAGAAAUAUAUGAGUUCAUUUUUCGCUAGAAUAGGGUUUAUAUUUACGGUACUUUCACGAACUGUAAUUAAUUGGUGAAAAUGCAUUGGAACGUCGAUUUUUCUAAUAAGGAUUUUCUAAUCUUAUCUGUUGAUCGAUGUUCCUCUUAGAAUUUUAGGUUUUAAUUCAUUGCAACAUAUGUAGAAAAAGAUAUGAGAUUGAUGCUUUAUGUUGUUAUUAUCUGCAUUUCUUAAUAUUAUAUAAUAUGUUUAUUUAUAUUAAUUUAUUGUAUUUUUAUAUAUUUCACUAUUUAAUUGGAAUAUGAAAUCUAUUUUCACUUAUUUGAAUCACAAUGUUUCUUAGUGUUGAAGAUGUUAGUGUUAUGAUAUCUAAGUUAGUCUCAAUCGAUUACAUUCUAAAAGAGUCAUAUGACCAAGUUAAUCUGGAGUUUGAUUUUUUUGUUGGAGGGCGUUGUUGUAAAGAAACAGAUUUAAGUUAUUAAUAAACAGACUAUGUAUCGCAAUCUCUUACUACAGAAUUUUCUAUCAAUAAAUAGUAGAUUAUUGUAUUGGAAAGAGACGAUUUUUAAUUUCUAGGAAAUAUGAAAAAUUCAUAUAAUCGGAAUUGCCCGUUAAGGAUCUAAUAUUAGCAUGUUACAAUACUUUUAAAUUUGGUUUAAAACUUGUUAUAUCAUGUAUCUUCCAUAUAAUUUAGAAGCAAUACCUAUAAAAUCAACCAUAAAAUCCUACUUCCUCCUAUAACUAGCACUAUCAACGGUUACGCAUGUGGAUACUCUGAGUGGGUUCUAUACAACCAGACCCAACACCUUACAUCGUAUUAUCAAAUUGGUCCAAAUAAUUAAUGUUUAUAGAAAUGAUUAUAUAGGUGGUGUUUUAAAAGAUAAAUUCAGUGUAUACAAAUAAAGCGUGGUCCUACAUUGAAUAUUUUCAAUAUAUUCUUGUGUUCUAGCCAACAAAAAAUAAGAGAUUGUCCUCCCGAAUGCAGAUAACCACUAGGAAUGAAAGACACUCCACUAACUGCGCAUUAGAAAGAUGGUUAAAAUGAGAGAAGGUAAAAUUACAUAUUUAGAAACCAAUAAAAAAGGUGAGAACAAAAGAAAAUAAAGAAUGAAGUUAGAAAGAAAGAUAAUCACAAAGAUGAAAGAAGAAGAAAAAUAACUAGAGAGUGAGAAGAAGAAAAAAGAAAGAGAAAAAAAGCAAGAGAAAUAAAUGAAGAGGGGAAAAACUAUAUUUAUACAUAAAAUAAAAGAGUUGAAUGAGUGAGGAAAAAUAAGGAAGAAAGAAGUAAAAAGAAAUAAACAAAGGACAGAGACAGAGUUAGAUAGAAGAAUAAACAACACUGACAAACAGAUAGAAAGAGAACAGCAUAAAAUAAUUGGUUCUCUCGCAUGUCCCAGCACCAGUCGGUUUGGUAAAUUGACUUCAAAAUAUAGAGGUAUACUAUUUUCUGAAAACAAUUUUGUUCACACAAAUAUUUCACACAACAUAUAACAAUAUUUAAUAAUACCCCGAGACACAUACAAUUUGACCUUCUCUUUGGAUCCUCUACCAUAAGUGUGAGAUUAUUUACCUUCAUUAGAAAGCCAAUUCCAGACGGCAAUUAUAAUACAUAAGAAAAGUAUGUGCACUUAGCAUGUGCUUCCCUAUUAAAGUGCAGAUAAAAUAUAAUCUAAAAUAAGUCAACUAGAUUGAGACCGAUGCAAUGCAUGGGUGUCGAAAUAUUGUAAACUCCCCUUAAAAACCAUCGUAUAAUUGACUUUGGUUGAAUUAUUGCGCGCUUUACUAAUAUUUUAUACUUUGGAGUUUAUUUUAAAACUUAAGUACAAAAGAAGUGUCAACGGGUAAAUAAUCUUUGAAUGGAAGAUAAUUAAGAGUUAAUAGUGUUUGAUCAAUCUGUGAUCAGUUUUUCAAGAGGGAAAAUACAUGCGUUUGAAUAUGAUGGUAGCCUCUUCUCCAACCGAUGUUACACUUAAUUUAAUCCCUACAAAAAAAGCGUGCUAGAGUUUUGUUUAUCAAUCUUGUACCGGCGAUUCCUUUUUUUUAAAACAUAAUGGAUGCUUGUUCUUGUAUGAGGCAUUCGGAUUGAAGAGGUGAAACUUAAUACAUACGAUCCAUACCUUAUGUCCCUAACAAACACUGACAAUGGUUAACAUCGAUCGGAUUGUAUAGGUACGCCAGUAUAAUGAGUCAUAUCACCUAUGAAAGUUACAUAUGACGGUACUCACACAUAAUAAUUCGGACAUCGCAUUUACCAUAGAUAUAAAAUCUAUUUUCUAUAUUGACUUGCUUACUAGAUUUUAGGUUUAAGUUAUUGCAACAUUAGAAAAGCUGACUUUAAUUGUAAAUGCAUUUCUAAAAUAUAAAUGUUUAUGUAUAAAUAGUAUUAAUUCUUAUUCUCGUGCCACUACACUUAUUUCCCGGAAGUCCUUGAGCAAUAGCUGUUGGUAAUCACUGUAAUUGGAUAUCUAACCAUGUGUAGAUCUUAUCCAUGUAUACAGUUGGAUGUUAUGUGUUUAGUGAGUAUGCUUAGCUGUAGCUGAUUCGAAUGUUAACGACGAUGUCUAUUUGGAUUGAUACAACAUUAUUCUUGGUUAGUUCUUAUUGUAGGAGAUUUAAUUUGUGAGUGUGAUGUCUUGUAUGUUGUAUGAAACACCAGAUCUUAUGAGGUUAUACUUACCCAUUACACCUAAACUAGUCUCCAACAUGUACUUUAACUCACGAAUUUGGACAUUCCUCCAUCAAAACAGCUCAGAUUACUUACCUUGUACAGUUCCUUCUGGAAAAGAGACGCAUUUUCAACUCUAGAAAUUAAUGCAAAAUUCAUUUAUAAUGGAAUUCGCCUCUGUUAAGGCAUCCUAAGUAUUAGUCGAUUGUUUACAAUACUUUAGAAUUUUGGUUUAGACUUGUUUCUAUGUUUCUUUCCAUAUUUAUGUUAGAAGCAGAAGUACUUUCCUAUAAAUACCCUCAUCAUCAAACUACUCCCCCUAUCCUACAAUUAUCCAACUGGUACGUUCUCAUGGGGUGGAACUGAGCGUGUUAGGUUAGUGCCGAGACCAACCUUGCUAGUGUCUUGUAAGGUCAUUUACUUGCAAAAUAAUUUAUGUUUAUUACUUGUUAUAUAUAUGUUUUUAAAAAAAAAAUAGGGAAAAAAACACUAGAACUUAAAAGUGUAAACAAAAAUUAAACAGAAUGACGUGAUCCUGUACAUUGACAUAAAUCUCAAUAUUCUGUUGUUUAGCAACACAUAAUAGAGAAGUGUCGCGAAUGCAGCUAUCACCCCUCAGGAUCGAGACUGUCCACUAAUCGCUUGCCUAGUGCGUCUACCGAGAGACGGUAAAUUACAUCAUUUAGAAUCUAAAUAAUAGAUGAAGAACAAAGAAAAAUAAAGAAGGAAUUAGAAAAGAAAGAUAAUGCAAAAGAGAAAGAUAAGAAGAAAAAUGACUUGGAGAGUGUAGGACACGAAUAAAAAGAAAAGAGAAAAAAAAAGAAAGAGAAAGAAAUAAGAGGGAAUAAACUAUAUAUUUAUAUAUAUAAAAAUAAAGAGUAUAAGAUAAGAAUAAGGAAAGAAAGAAACCAGACAUAACAAAAGGAAAGAAGACAGAGUAGAAGAAGAAAAAAACCAUGACAAAAGAAGAAGAGAAAGCAUAAAUAAAUUGGUUCUUGAAUGUUCCCACACAGUUUUGAUUGCUGUCAAAAAUUAGAGUUAAACAUUUUUAAAAAAUAUUUUUCCAACAAAAAAUAUUAAAAAGGACAGCAAAAAUUUGAAACUCUCUUAAUCAAGUGUGAGGAUAUUGAGAUAUUUACCUUCCAUUAUAAACAAUUACAGAGGAAUUAUAUAAUAAGAAAAGUAUGUGCCUGCGUGCUUCUAUAUGUCGUUAAAUAAAAUAAGCAACUAGAUUGAGACCCGUGCAAUGCACGGUUGUCAAAAUUUUGUAAACUCCCUUUAAAACCAUGUAUAUUGACUUUGGUAAUUUUGCGCUGAACAAUAUUUUUAUACUUUAGGAGUUUAUUUUAAAACUUCGAAGUAAAACAUAAAAAGAAUGUUAACUAAAUAAUUAUGAAGGAAUAACUAAGAGUAUGAUGGAUUGAUAAAUGAUCAAAGUUCUUCAGAGAAAAAUACAUGGAUGAAAGAUACCACGAUGUGCACUUUAAUUUAUCCUUUACAAAAAAAAACUACUUUUUAUCAAUUUACAUUUUUUUUUAAUAAUACUCUUGAAAUUUUUAAUUUCACUUAAAAAUAUAAUUAGCCUUACGAAAAAUGAAAUGGUUAAUUGUGGAUGUAUAUAGAGAAAUAAUAUUCAUACAGAAAAGGUUACAAUGGUACUCACAACUUAAAUAAUUGGAAAUGCAUAACCAUUUCAAAAAUCUAUCUUAUUGAAUGUCUUCUAGAUUUAGAUUUAAUUAUUGCAACUAUUAGAAAAAAUAGAUGAAUUUAUUUGUAAAUGCAUUUCUAAAAUAUAAAUGUUUAUUAUAAAUAUUAUAAAUACUUAUUUCACUAUUUAUUGGAAUAUGAAAGCUAUUUCACUUAUUUGAAUCACAUGUUUCUUAGUGUUGAAGAUGUUAGUGUUAUGAUAUAAAGUUAGUUCAUGAUUACAUUCUAUCAGAGUCAUUAUGACCAAGUUAUCUGGAGUUUGAUUUUUGUUGCGGCCGUUGUUGUAAAAAACAGAUUUAAGUUAUUAAUACACAAAUUAUGUAUCCAAAUUUUUACUACAAAUUUUCUAUAUUAAAAAGUAGAUUAUUGUAUUUGGAAAGAGACGAUUUUAAUUCUAGGAAAUAUGCAAAAUUCAUAUAAUGGAAUUGCUGUUAAGGAUCUAAUAUUAGCAUUAUUUACAGUACUUUUAAUUUUGGUUUAACUUGUUUAUAUGUUUCUUCCAUGUAAUUUAGAAGCAAUACUAUAAAACCCAUUAAACUACUCCUCCUAUACUACACUAUCAACUGGUACAUCAUGUGGAACUGUGUGGAGUUCUAUACAACCAACCUUCUAGUUUAUCAUUUACUCAAAUAAUUUAUGUUAUAUGUUUAUAUUGUUUUUUAAAAGAUAAAUUAGUGUACAAAUAAACACGUGAUCCUACAUUGAAUAAAAAUUCAAUAUUCUUGUGUUUAGCAAAAAAAAAAAGAGAUUGUCCCGAAUGCAGAUAACCACUAGGAAUGAGACUAUCCAAAUGCCUUGCCAAGUGGUUAUGAGAGAAGUAAAUUACAUAUUUCGAAAACCAUAAAAAAGAUGAGAAGAAAGAAAAAUAAAGAAUGAAUUAGAAAGAAAGAAUAUCAAAGAGAAAGAUAAGAAGAAAAAAUAACUGGAGAGUGAGAAAGAAGAAAAAAGAAAAGAGAAAAAAAAGAAAGAGAAGUAAAUAAGAGGGGAAUAAACUAUAUAUUUAUAUAUAAAAAAUAAAAGAGAAUAAGAUAGAAGAAGGAAGAAAGAAUAAGAAAUAAAGAAAAGGAAAGAGAAAGAGUAGAAGAAGAAAAAGAACAUGACAAAAGAAGAAAGAGCUUAAAGUCCCACACAGUGUUGUGAUUGCUUCAAAAUUAGAGUAUAAACAAUUUUUUAAAAUAUUUUUCCAACAAAACAUAUUAAAAAAGAGACACAAAAAUUUGAACUUUCUUAAUAAGUGUGAGAUAUUUACCUUCCAUUAUAAACAAUUACAGAGGAAUUAUAUAAUAAGAAAAGUAUGUGCCUGCGUGCUUCUAUAUGUCGUUAAAUAAAAUAAGCAACUAGAUUGAGACCCUUGCAAUGCACGGGUGUCGAAAAUUUGUAAACUCCCUUUAAAACCAUGUAUAUUGACUUUGGUAAUUUUGCGCUGAACAAUAUUUUUAUACUUUUGGAGUUUAUUUUAAAACUUCGAAGUAAAACAUAAAAAGAAUGUUAACUAAAUAAUUAUGAAGGAAGAAAUAAGAGUAUGUUGGAUUGAUAAAUGAUCAAGUUCUUCAGAGAAAAAUACAUGGAUGAGAGAUACCACGAUGUGCACUUUAAUUUAUCCCUUACAAAAAAAAAACUACUUACUAUGAAUUUACAUUUUUUUUUAAUAAUACUCUUGAAAUUUUUAAUUUCACUUAAAAAUAUAAUUAGCCUUACGAAAAAUGAAAUGGUUAAUUAUGGAUGUAUAUAGAGAAAUAAUAUUCAUACAGAAAAGGUUACAACGGUACUCACAACUUAAAUAAUUGGAAAUGCAUAACCAUUUCAAAAAUCUAUCUUAUUGAAUGUCUUCUAGAUUUAGGUUUAAUUAUUGCAACUAUUAGAAAAAAUAGAUGACUUUAUUUGUAAAUGCAUUUCUAAAAUAUAAAUGUUUAUUAUAAAUAUUAUUAAUACUUAUUUCACUAUUUAUUGGAAUAUGAAAGCUAUUUCACUUAUUUGAAUGACAUGUUUCUUAGUGUUGAAGAUGUUAGUGUUAUGAUAUAAAGUUAGUUCAUGAUUACAUUCUAUCAGAGUCAUUAUGACCAAGUUAUCUGGAGUUUGAUUUUUGUUGCGGCCGUUGUUGUAAAAAACAGAUUUAAGUUAUUAAUACACAAAUUAUGUAUCCAAAUCUUUACUACAAAUUUUCUAUAUUAAAAAGUAGAUUAUUGUAUUUUGAAAGAGACGAUUUUAAUUCUAGGAAAUAUGCAAAAUUCAUAUAAUGGAAUUGCCGUUAAGGAUCUAAUAUUAGCAUUAUUUACGGUACUUUUAAUUUUGGUUUAACUUGUUUAUACGUUUCUUCCAUAUAAUUUAGAAGCAAUACUAUAAAACCCAUCAAACUACUCCUCCUAUACUACACUAUCAACUGGUACGUCAUGUGGAACUGAGUGGAGUUCUAUACAACCAACCUUCUAGUUUAUCAUUUACUCAAAUAAUUUAUGUUAUAUGUUUAUAUUGUUUUUUAAAAGAUAAAUUAGUGUACAAAUAAAGACGUGAUCCUACAUUGAAUAAAAAUUCAAUAUUCUUGUGUUUAGCAACAAAACAAAAAAAGAGUUUGUACCGAAUGCAGAUAACCACUAGGAAUGAGACUAUCCAAAUGCUUUGCCAAGUGGUUAUGAGAGAAGUAAAUUACAUAUUUAGAAAACCAUAGAAAAGAGAAAGAGGAAAGAAUGAAUUAGAAAGAAAGAAUAUCAAAGAGAAAGAUAAGAAGAAAAAAUAACUGGAGAGUGAGAAAGAAGAAAAAAGAAAAGAGAAAAAAAAGAAAGAGAAGUAAAUAAGAGGGGAAUAAACUAUAUAUUUAUAUAUAAAAAAUAAAAGAGAAUAAGAUAGAAGAAGGAAGAAAGAAUAAGAAAUAAAGAAAAGGAAAGAGAAAGAGUAGAAGAAGAAAAAGAACAUGACAAAAGAAGAAAGAGCUUAAAGUCCCACACAGUGUUGUGAUUGCUUCAAAAUUAGAGUAUAAACAAUUUUUUAAAAUAUUUUUCCAACAAAACAUAUUAAAAAAGAGACACAAAAAUUUGAACUUUCUUAAUAAGUGUGAGAUAUUUACCUUCCAUUAUAAACAAUUACAGAGGAAUUAUAUAAUAAGAAAAGUAUGUGCCUGCGUGCUUCUAUAUGUCGUUAAAUAAAAUAAGCAACUAGAUUGAGACCCUUGCAAUGCACGGGUGUCGAAAAUUUGUAAACUCCCUUUAAAACCAUGUAUAUUGACUUUGGUAAUUUUGCGCUGAACAAUAUUUUUAUACUUUUGGAGUUUAUUUUAAAACUUCGAAGUAAAACAUAAAAAGAAUGUUAACUAAAUAAUUAUGAAGGAAGAAAUAAGAGUAUGUUGGAUUGAUAAAUGAUCAAGUUCUUCAGAGAAAAAUACAUGGAUGAG
rnacentral:lncRNA from 1 species